UUGACACUGCUUUAUUAC
rnacentral:siRNA from 1 species